rnacentral:rRNA from 1 species
UACGUAGGGCGCAAGCGUUGUCCGGAAUUAUUGGGCGUAAAGAGCUCGUAGGUGGUUUGUCGCGUUGUUCGUGAAAACUCACAGCUCAACUGUGGGCGUGCGGGCGAUACGGGCAGACUUGAGUACUGCAGGGGAGACUGGAAUUCCUGGUGUAGCGGUGGAAUGCGCAGAUAUCAGGAGGAACACCGGUGGCGAAGGCGGGUCUCUGGGCAGUAACUGACGCUGAGGAGCGAAAGCCAGGGGAGCAAACGGG